rnacentral:rRNA from 1 species
GAAAUUGAAGAAGGGCGCAUGGUGGAUGCCUAGGCUCAAGGAGGCGAUGAAGGACGUGGGAAGCUGCGAUAAUCUGCGGUUAGGCGCAACCGGCCAUUGACCCGCAGGUCUCCGAAUGGGACAACCCGCCGCCGAAAGGCGGCAUCACGCUUGUAGCGUGAGGCGAACGCGGGGAACUGAAACAUCUUAGUACCCGCAGGAAGAGAAAACAACAGUGAUUCCCCCAGUAGUGGCGAGCGACCGGGGAACAGCCCAAACCGUCGGCGUUUCGGCGCCGUCGGGGUAGUAGGGCCGCAAUGUCGCACAAGCACCGUUAAGCGGAACGGACUGGAACGUCCGGCCAUAGCGGGUGAAAGCCCCUUACGCGCCGUCGGUGCUGGCGUAGCGGUUCCCUGAGUAGCGCGGGGCACGAGAAACCCUGUGCGAAUCCGCCGGGACCAUCCGGCAAGGCUAAAUACUCCCUUGAGACCGAUAGUGAACAAGUACCGUGAGGGAAAGGUGGGAAGCACCCCGUCGAGGGGAGUGAAAUAGACCCUGAAACCAUGCGCCUACAAGCGGUCGGAGCACGCUUAUGCGUGUGACGGCGUGCCUUUUGCAUAAUGAACCUACGAGUUGCCGUCGCCGGCGAGGUUAACCGUGAUGACGCGGGGAGCCGCAGUGAGAGCGAGCCUGAAGAGGGCGUACAGUCGGCGGUGGCAGACGCGAAACCAAGUGAUCUACACUUGGCCAGGGUGAAGUCCCGGUAACGCGGGAUGGAGGCCCGAACCGAUAAGCGUUGAAAAGCUUCCGGAUGAGCCGAGUGUAGGAGUGAAAGGCCAAUCAAACUUGGAGAUAGCUCGUACUCCCCGAAAGGCAUUUAGGUGCCGCGUGGGGUGUUCCGGGCGCGAGGUAGAGCGACCGAUAGGACGCGAGGGCUUCACCGCCUGUCAAGUCCUGACGAACUCCGAAUGCGCGUCCGCAGAAGCCCUGCAGUAAGGGGGCGGGUGCUAAGGUCCGCCCCCGAGAGGAGAAGAAUCCAGACCGCCGUCUAAGGCCCCGGAAUUCUGCCUGAGUUAGUCUAACGAAGUGUGCCCCCUGGGACAGCCAGGAUGUUGGCUUGGAAGCAGCCAUUCAUUCAAAGAGUGCGUAACAGCUCACUGGUCGAGGGGGCUCGCGUGGAUAAUAAUCGGGUAUAAGGCAGAUGCCGAAGGCGCGGGAUAUCGAAAGAAUGUAUCGGUAGGGGAGCAUUCCAGGUGCGCAGAAUGCAAGGGGCGACCCAUGCUGGAGCGCCUGGAAAGGCAAAUGUAGGUAUGAGUAACGACAAGGGGGGCGCGAACCCCCCCCGCCGCAAGGCCAAGGUUUCCCGGGCGAUGCCAGUCAUCCCGGGGUAAGUCGGGCCCUAAGCCUAAGCCGAAUGGCGAUGGCGAUGGCAGACACGGUUGAGAUUCCGUGACUGCCCGUGCGGGCGAUGCGGCAACGGAGAAGUGACACCGCCGCGCGCAGACGGAACUGCGCGUUGAAGGGUGUAGGCGUCGAGGGGCGCAGUUAAGCACACGCCCCGAGCCGAACCUGAUAGUACGGCGCUCCAUUCGUGGAGGGCCGAGAGUGCGGGUAAUCCAGCUCCCAAGAAACCCCGCUAAGCUUAACCGCACGGGCACCCGUACCGCAAACGGACACACGUGGCCGGGUAGAGCAUACCAAGGCGUUGAGAGACUCAUGGUCAAGGAACUAGGCAAACCAGCCCCGUAACUUCGGGAGAAGGGGUCCUCCCCCCGUGGGAGGCGCAGCGAACAGGCCCAGGCAACUGUUUACCAAAAACACAGGGCUGUGCAAACUCGAGAGAUGAAGUAUACAGCCUGACACCUGCCCGGUGCCGGAAGGUUAAGAGGAGGCGUCACCGCAAGGGAAGCGCCGAGUUGAAGCCCCGGUAAACGGCGGCCGUAACUAUAACGGUCCUAAGGUAGCGAAAUUCCUUGUCGGGUAAGUUCCGACC